rnacentral:rRNA from 1 species
CACGUAGGUGGCAAGGUAAGUCAAAGGUGAAAGCCCUCGGCUCAACCGAGGAACUGCCUUUGAAACUGUUUUGCUUGAGUCCGGGAGGGGGGAGCGGAAUUCCCAGUGUAGCGGUGAAAUGCGUAGAUACUGGGAGGAACACCGGUGGCGAAGGCGGCUCCCUGGACCGGUACUGACACUGAGGUGCGAAAGCGUGGGUAGCAAACA